UACGUAGGGGGCAAGCGUUGUCCGGAUUUAUUGGGCGUAAAGAGCGUGUAGGCGGCCAUUCAGGUCAGCUGUGAAAACUCGAGGCUCAACCUCGAGACGUCGGUUGAAACCGUUUGGCUAGAGUCCGGAAGAGGAGAGUGGAAUUCCCGGUGUAGCGGUGAAAUGCGCAGAUAUCGGGGAAGAACACCCCGUGGCGAAGGCGGCUCUCUGGGACGGUACUGACGCUGAGGCACG
rnacentral:rRNA from 1 species